rnacentral:misc_RNA from 1 species
AAGUCGUAACAAGGUUUCCGUAGGUGAACCUGCGGAAGGAUCAUUAUUGAAUGUAUUCAAAGGGGUUGAUGCUGGCUUUGGUAACAAAGUAUGUGCUCACCUUUUUGGCUUACUAUUUUCCCCCCUGUGCACCUUUUGUAGUUCUGAGUUCUCUUGAGUUGGUUAUGGAGUCUAGUAAUUAGAAUGACUUGAUUGUUGUUCUUGUGAAAGACUUUCAAUUCUCGAGUUCGCGGUUCUAUGUAUUAUCACAAACCCCAUUGUAUGUUUUAGAAUGUCUUUUUACUGGUUUUUACGAACCUUUAAAUCAAUACAACUUUUAGCAACGGAUCUCUUGGCUCUC